rnacentral:rRNA from 1 species
CAAUAGCGUAUAUUAAAGUUGUUGCAGUUAAAAAGCUCGUAGUUGGAUUUGUGGCGUACGGUGUGUUCCGGGCACUUGUUGUCUGAGUAACCUGCUGUUGCCAUCCUUGGGUGGAACCUGUGUGGCAUUAGGUUGUCGCGCAGGGGAUGCCCAUCAUUUACUGUGAAAAAAUUAGAGUGUUCAAAGCAGGCUUAUGCCGUUGAAUAUAUUAGCAUGGAAUAAUGAGAUAGGACUUUUUUGCUAUUUUGUUGGUUUGCGCAAAGAGGUAAUGAUUAAUAGGGACAGUUGGGGGUAUUCGUAUUCCAUUGUCGGAGGUGAAAUUCUUGGAUUUUUGGAAGACGAACUACUGCGAAAGCAUUUACCAAGGAUGUUUUCAUUAA